ensembl:miRNA
GAUUUCAGUGACCUGGCAGGAGGGAGCGUCAUCAGUGUUUGACUGUUUAUGGUAUGUCAGGGAGCUGGUUCC